AAAAGUCUUUGUAUUUUUGUCUUCUAUUUUGUAGGUGUACGCUGUAAAGACCCGGGUGUGGGAGUCACCAGGAAAAUGAAUGGUAGUUUCCUAAUUACUCAGAGAAUGCUGCACAUGUUCAAAUACCCACAGUUUUUCCUAUCUCUGCCUUCUCCUUGAAGCGGUGUUUAGAAGAGGAUAUCACACCUCUAAGCCAUUGGAUGUAAUGCUAAACAGGUGAGCCACAGCUAUACAAUCAUUCAGCUAUUCUGUUUAAUAGCAAAUCUUCUCAGGAUGCAGUAUCUACCAGUUUGCUUCAACUUGAGUGUUGUUAGUAUCUUUAGGUGACAUUUUGCCUUUUGUCACACUUCAGUCUUUGGACUUAAACAUCUGAAAAGCCCUGGAUCCUGGAACUGAGUUGCAGGGAUGCUAAUUAGUUCCAUGGUUUCUAUUGGAGUCAUAAAGAAAUACAGCAACCAGAAAAUAUUGAAAGAAGCACUGUGCAGAAUUCUUAUAAUCAGAGAAGAACAUUCACUUGCAUUAACAAGGAAGAAACUUCUUAUCCUUAAAUGUAAAAUAUUAACUAUUAUUUCUUAGUCUUUCUGGAGAUUAUUAAAGUCUUUCGGGGUCCUUAUAUUCC